rfam:Ajellomyces capsulatus G186AR genomic scaffold supercont2.1, whole genome shotgun sequence.
CCCAAUGAUGAUCAUCCAGAUAGGGACAGCUUAUGCUAUGCAUGUGAUGUUACCUGGAAAGAGAAUUUUAGUAGAUGCCUCUUGUUAUCUGAGC